CCGAAAAUGUACCGGGGCUAAAUACACCACCGAAGCUGCGGAUUGAUACCAAUGGUAUCAGUGGUAGGGGAGCGUUCUAAGGACAGUGAAGUCAGACCGUAAGGACUGGUGGAGUGCUUAGAAGUGAGAAUGCCGGUAUGAGUAGCGAAAGACGGGUGAGAAUCCCGUCCACCGAAUGCCUAAGGUUUCCUGAGGAAGGCUCGUCCGCUCAGGGUUAGUCAGGACCUAAGCCGAGGCCGACAGGCGUAGGCGAUGGACAACAGGUUGAUAUUCCUGUACCACCUCUUUAUCGUUUGAGCAAUGGAGGGACGCAGAAGGAUAGAAGAAGCGUGCGAUUGGUUGUGCACGUCCAAGCAGUUAGGCUGAUAAGUAGGCAAAUCCGCUUAUCGNGNANGCUGAGCUGUGAUGGGGAAGCUCCUUAUGGAGCGAAGUCUUUGAUUCCCCGCUGCCAAGAAAAGCUUCUAGCGAGAUAAAAGGUGCCUGUACCGCAAACCGACACAGGUAGGCGAGGAGAGAAUCCUAAGGUGUGCGAGAGAACUCUGGUUAAGGAACUCGGCAAAAUGACCCCGUAACUUCGGGAGAAGGGGUGCUUUCUUAACGGAAAGCCGCAGUGAAUAGGCCCAAGCGACUGUUUAGCAAAAACACAGCUCUCUGCGAAGCCGUAAGGCGAAGUAUAGGGGGUGACACCUGCCCGGUGCUGGAAGGUUAAGGAGAGGGGUUAGCGUAAGCGAAGCUCUGAACUGAAGCCCCAGUAAACGGCGGCCGUAACUAUAACGGUCCUAAGGUAGCGAAAUUCCUUGUCGGGUAAGUUCCGACCCGCACGAAAGGUGUAACGAUUUGGGCACUGUCUCAACCAGAGACUCGGUGAAAUUAUAGUACCUGUGAAGAUGCAGGUUACCCGCGACAGGACGGAAAGACCCCGUGGAGCUUUACUGUAGCCUGAUAUUGAAUUUUGGUACAGUUUGUACAGGAUAGGCGGGAGCCAUUGAAACCGGAGCGCUAGCUUCGGUGGAGGCGCUGGUGGGAUACCGCCCUGACUGUAUUGAAAUUCUAACCUACGGGUCUUAUCGACCCGGGAGACAGUGUCAGGUGGGCAGUUUGACUGGGGCGGUCGCCUCCUAAAGUGUAACGGAGGCGCCCAAAGGUUCCCUCAGAAUGGUUGGAAAUCAUUCGUAGAGUGCAAAGGCAUAAGGGAGCUUGACUGCGAGACCUACAAGUCGAGCAGGGACGAAAGUCGGGCUUAGUGAUCCGGUGGUUCCGCAUGGAAGGGCCAUCGCUCAACGGAUAAAAGCUACCCCGGGGAUAACAGGCUUAUCUCCCCCAAGAGUCCACAUCGACGGGGAGGUUUGGCACCUCGAUGUCGGCUCAUCGCAUCCUGGGGCUGUAGUCGGUCCCAAGGGUUGGGCUGUUCGCCCAUUAAAGCGGUACGCGAGCUGGGUUCAGAACGUCGUGAGACAGUUCGGUCCCUAUCCGUCGUGGGCGUAGGAAAUUUGAGAGGAGCUGUCCUUAGUACGAGAGGACCGGGAUGGACGCACCGCUGGUGUACCAGUUGUUCUGCCAAGGGCAUAGCUGGGUAGCUAUGUGCGGAAGGGAUAAGUGCUGAAAGCAUCUAAGCAUGAAGCCCCCCUCAAGAUGAGAUUUCCCAUAGCGUAAGCUAGUAAGAUCCCUGAAAGAUGAUCAGGUUGAUAGGUUCGAGGUGGAAGCAUGGUGACAUGUGGAGCUGACGAAUACUAAUAGAUCGAGGACUUAACCAUAUAA
rnacentral:rRNA from 1 species